UGGAAUUAAUUUGGAAGAGUACUUGAAUCAAAGUCAUAUUUUUUUUUGACAAGUUGAACCGAACGUGAGCAGAAGCAACAAUAAAAGUGUAUUUGAGGUUAUUAACAACAACUUGAGCUCUUAUUUUAUUUCACCAUUCAGUAGACUAAUUUCCUCAAUAAGGGUGCUGUAGCAAAAUUUUUAUACAACAAUUGUUUGCAGAGCUCUCACGUUGAAUUAAGAACCUUGCUAUUUAAGCAAGUUGAGCAGCAAUGUAAUUACCCAUUACGAUGAAGAAAAAGUCAAGCAGCAUCAUUAUUUUACGGGUUUCACUAAUUGCUUCGAUCUUGUUAUUCCAUUUUGUCGUGUUGUUGACUCCGGGCUUUCUUCGUAAUGAAGUAAGGUGGAAGAAGAUUAAAUCUUGACAUAUGAGAUUGGUGAAGCCCGAGACCUAAGUUAUGGUUAACUUGAGAAGCGACAAGGUACAGAUAGACAGUUUGGUGACCCUUCAGUAUGGGACUUCUACUCAGCUGUCUUGGAGAGCUCCGUUAUUCCGGAGCCUAGACUUAUGGUAUAGAUCUUAUGGUUUAUAUAUAUAUAUAUGUUUACCAAGGGUACGGCGGGGCCCUGUCCCGUCAUAUUUUGCUAUCGAUAUUCUUAGAGGUCUGUAGACAUAUGUAUGGGUUGUGUAUAAGUUUGUUCAGCUGUGUCUAUACGAUGUACUAUGGAUAUGCUCUUCUGUAGUGGCAGCCUUGUCGGCUUGUGUUUCAUGUUGAUAUGUUGUGGCAGCCUUGUCGGCUUGCGUAUCAUAUUAUGUUUUGUUCAGUUGUGACUCCCCAGAAGACUGGUUAUUUGGAUAUAUGUAUAUAUGA